UUUUGUACUUUUUUUUUUUU
rnacentral:miRNA from 1 species